AGAAUGACGGCUGAUUCUGCGAUCCUGCGUGACAAAUGAAGAGUGUGGGGUGUAAAAUUAAAAGCGCUGAGCUGGCGCGAGAGAAACCAGAAACUCAUUAGAAACUCACGUGACGAUCGGACAUAAGCGUGUGUGAUAAAUAACACGCAUGCUCACAUGUGUGUGUUUGUGCAGGUCAGAAGCGCCUCAUCCUCGGUAUCCAGGGACCUCAUCAGGACCUGCUGCCAUGGCAACCGUACACACCAAACACCGGGAUCACGGUGACAGAGAUCCAGAGCUGCACUUUCACUUUAUUAAAAGCCUCCGAUGACACACAGCCCUCGUCUGAUGCAUGCCGCACAAAAAUGGCAAAAAAAAAGCGCUCAGACAUAAUCUGAAGUUUGCAGUACUGAGUACAUUACAGCACAUAGCUGAGCCAUGAAAGCAUCUAUAACAUCCUCAUCAGAAGAGCACUCACGAGAGAAGAACUCCAAACUACACUGAAAACAAUCGCUGAACGUGAUGCUGACGGCCGAGACGAUGAGAGCAAACAUGAGACGACAGCAGCGCUAACUUCACCAGAAGAGCCGAGAGCACUGACGCAAACACACUGAGCGUGACUGCAGUACUGUCAGAAAGUCUGGGGUAAGAAAUCAACGCUUUUAUUCAGCAAGGGUGCAUUAAAUUGAAUAAAAGUGACAGUUAGGACAUUUCUAAUGUCUCAAAAGAGAUCUAUUUCAAAUUAAUGCUGUUCUUUUGAACUUUCUAUUCAUCUGUGAAUC